AGUGAACGCUGGCGGUAGGCCUAACACAUGCAAGUCGAACGGCAGCACAGUAAGAGCUUGCUCUUACGGGUGGCGAGUGGCGGACGGGUGAGGAAUACAUCGGAAUCUACUUUUUCGUGGGGGAUAACGUAGGGAAACUUACGCUAAUACCGCAUACGACCUACGGGUGAAAGCAGGGGAUCUUCGGACCUUGCGCGAUUGAAUGAGCCGAUGUCGGAUUAGCUAGUUGGCGGGGUAAAGGCCCACCAAGGCGACGAUCCGUAGCUGGUCUGAGAGGAUGAUCAGCCACACGGGAACUGAGACACGGUCCAGACUCCUACGGGAGGCAGCAGUGGGGUAUAUUGGACAAUGGGCGCAAGCCUGAUCCAGCCAUACCGCGUGGGUGAAGAAGGCCGUCGGGUUGUAAAGCCCUUUUGUUGGGAAAGAAAAGCAGCAGGUUAAUACCCCGCUGUUCUGACGGUACCCAAAGAAUAAGCACCGGCUAACUUCG
rnacentral:rRNA from 1 species